rnacentral:rRNA from 1 species
GUGUCAGCAGCCGCGGUAAUACGUAGGUGGCAAGCGUUAUCCGGAAUUACUGGGCGUAAAGCGCACGCAGGCGGUCUUUUAAGUUUGACGUGAAAGCUCCCGGCUUAACUGGGAGAGGUCGUUGAAUACUGGAAGACUUGAGGAAAUGAGAGGGGUGUAGAAUUCCUGGUGUAGUGGUGGAAUGCGUAGAUAUCAGGAGGAAUACCAGUGGCGAAAGCGGCACCCUAGCAUUUUUCUGACGCUCAUGUGCGAAAGCGUGGGGAGCGAACGGGAUUAGAAACCCCUGUAGUCC